AACAAAGUGCCUGAAAAAGGAUAGAACUGAUAAUACUAUAAUGUAUAAUAUACCUUUGUUA
rnacentral:tRNA from 1 species